GUACACGCUGUGACUAGCAUAUCAAUAAGCGGAGGAAAAGAAACUAACAAGGAUUCCCUUAGUAACGGCGAGUGAAGCGGGAAGAGCUCAAAUUUGAAAUCUUCAAGGUUUUACCUUGACGAAUUGUAGUUUAAAGAAGUGUUUUCUGCUGAAGUUUUGGUAAAAGUUCUUUGGAAUAGGACAUCAUAGAGGGUGAGAAUCCCGUAUUUGACCAUUAUUUUCAGCUUUGUGAUACACUUUCAAAGAGUCGGAUUGUUUGGGAAUGCAGUCCAAAAUGGGUGGUAAAUUUCAUCUAAAGCUAAAUAUUGGCGAGAGACCGGUAGCGAACAAGUACCGUGAGGGAAAGAUGAAAAGAACUUUGAAAAGAGAGUUAAACAGUACGUGAAAUUGUCAAAAGGGAAGCGUUUGACACCAGUGUUGUUUUCUCGAAAAUCAAUUAAAAAUGGCUCGAUUUUGUAUUGCUUGAGACCUUAAAAGCUCACUGUACAUUUUUCGUGUCUUUUUUAAUGCACUUUUCGUUUAACAAGUCAACAUCAGUUUCUUUUGUUGUAAAAGGGUCAUUGGAAGGUGGCUUUCUUUUCGGAGAAAGUGUUUAUAGCCUUUGGCCUCUGCAAUCGGAGAGACUGAGGUCUGCAGCGUAGACUCUUCGGGGUUAGAUACAUUUGUGCUAAGUUAUAGCUUUUUAUAGACAACUUGUUGACUAUAAUUAGUCUUGUAGCUUACUCGCUUAUGCUAUUUUACCUACGCUUAGGAUGUUGAGUAGCGACAUACGCAC
rnacentral:rRNA from 1 species